rnacentral:sRNA from 1 species
UUAGUGUGUAAAACAUUGGAGGAAAUCGAGAGAAAAGACAGAGAGAUCAAUAAACUUAAAGAACAGAAAGUGUGUAAAGCAUCGGACGAAAUAGUGAAAAAAGACAAAGAGAUCAUAAUGCUUAAAGAAGAGAAAGAAAUACUUCUGAGGGCCUUGGCUCGGUAUAGGUCAAGGUUGAAUGACGGAAAAGGACAGAAAACAAAAUUUGCCUAGAUAGAGACAAAUAGUCUAGCACGAAUAAAGAUAUUUGAUGUAAAUUUAGACUAAGCUAAUCCACAUGACACCUUCGUUAACCGUUGGCCACGAAAAAACAGAUGGCCUUCAGAUCAUCAGCCCUAUAGAUCUGAAAGGGGAACUUUACUUUUUUUUUGUACAAUCUAAGAAAAAAGGAUGGACUUCUGAAAUGCAAAGACCCUAAAGAAAACGCAAGAUAUUUAUCCCCCCAAAAUGGUGAGGACAAUAUUACUAAAACAAAACUUGCUAAGGCGUCUUUAUGUUUCUCUCAUUAUUGUUUUAAUUGUAUUAUUUUG